GACGAACGCUGGCGGCGUGCUUAACACAUGCAAGUCGAACGGAAAGGCCCUGCUUUUGUGGGGUGCUCGAGUGGCGAACGGGUGAGUAACACGUGAGUAACCUGCCCUUGACUUUGGGAUAACUUCAGGAAACUGGGGCUAAUACCGGAUAGGAGCUCCUGCUGCAUGGUGGGGGUUGGAAAGUUUCGGCGGUUGGGGAUGGACUCGCGGCUUAUCAGCUUGUUGGUGGGGUAGUGGCUUACCAAGGCUUUGACGGGUAGCCGGCCUGAGAGGGUGACCGGCCACAUUGGGACUGAGAUACGGCCCAGACUCCUACGGGAGGCAGAAGGGGGGAAUAUUGCAAAAUGGGGGGAAGCCCGAUGCAGCAACGCCGCGGGCGGGAUGACGGCCUUCGGGUUGUAAACCGCUUUCGCCUGGGACGAAGCGGGGGUGACGGUAAUGGGUAAAGAAGCCCCGGCUAACUUCGGG
rnacentral:rRNA from 1 species